AGUGAACGCUUGCUUUAGGCCUAACACAUGCAAGUCGAACGGCAGCACAGUAAGAGCUUGCUCUUACGGGUGGCGAGUGGCGGACGGGUGAGGAAUACAUCGGAAUCUACUUUUUCGUGGGGGAUCACGUAGGGAAACUUACGCUAAUACCGCAUACGACCUACGGGUGAAAGCAGGGGAUCUUCGGACCUUGCGCGAUUGAAUGAGCCGAUGUCGGAUUAGCUAGUUGGCGGGGUAAAGGCCCACCAAGGCGACGAUCCGUAGCUGGUCUGAGAGGAUGAUCACCCACACUGGAGCUGAGACACGGUCCAGACUCCUACGGGAGGCAGCAGUGGGGAAUAUUGGACAAUGGGCGCAAGCCUGAUCCAGCCAUCCCGCGUGGGUGAAGAAGGCCUUCGGGUUGUAAAGCCCUUUUGUUGGGAAAGAAAAGCAGCAGGUUAAUACCCCGCUGUUCUGACGGUACCCAAAGAAUAAGCACCGGCUAACUUCGUG
rnacentral:rRNA from 1 species